AGGGAUGGAAAGAGAGUGGACUGAGAGCAGUGUAGUUGUAUUCUUAUGACAAGAGGCUUAGCUUACUGUAAAUUGAUAUAGUUGUCAUAGUUUAUGUUUGUGAAUCCCUUAGAAGCAGCCUGUGAAUAGUAGACUGUGGCAAGCCAAGCUCAACUGUGCCUAGAACUAAUUUUACAGAUUGGAAGAAAAGGAUUCUUCCAGGUUACAGAAGCCCUUCCUGAAAAGAUCUGAAGGCAACUAUAUGACCCUACAUCUACAGAUUGCUUUCUGCAGCAUCAAAAUGCACAAGAAUUACUUCGGUCAGCAUUCACUUGCAACUGAAGGCACGAUCACGGACUUUCUGACGCAAUGGGAAGUCACAUACUUGACUGGCAACAGAAAUUCAGUAUAGUCUUGAAACAUACUUCAUUGGGACUGUAUAGUUCUUCCAACAGUCAAAUAACUUCAAGAUACAGUGAUAUUACUUGAAGGGUUGCCUAUGUCACUGCUCUACCUCACAUUUUUUUUC